AGAGUUUGAUCAUGGCUCAGGACGAACGCUGGCGGCGUGCUUAACACAUGCAAGUCGAACGGUGACCUCGAGAGCUUGCUCUCGGGUGAUCAGUGGCGAACGGGUGAGUAACACGUGAGUAACCUGCCCCAGACUCUGGAAUAACCCCGGGAAACCGGAGCUAAUACCGGAUACGAGACGGAGAGGCAUCUCUACCGUCUGGAAAGUUUUUCGGUCUGGGAUGGACUCGCGGCCUAUCAGCUUGUUGGUGAGGUAGUGGCUCACCAAGGCGACGACGGGUAGCCGGCCUGAGAGGGCGACCGGCCACACUGGGACUGAGACACGGCCCAGACUCCUACGGGAGGCAGCAGUGGGGAAUAUUGCACAAUGGGCGAAAGCCUGAUGCAGCGACGCCGCGUGAGGGAUGACGGCCUUCGGGUUGUAAACCUCUUUCAGCAGGGAAGAAGCGAAAGUGACGGUACCUGCAGAAGAAGCACCGGCUAACUACGUGCCAGCAGCCGCGGUAAUACGUAGGGUGCGAGCGUUGUCCGGAAUUAUUGGGCGUAAAGAGCUUGUAGGCGGUUUGUCGCGUCUGCCGUGAAAAUUCGAGGCUCAACCUCGAACUUGCGGUGGGUACGGGCAGACUAGAGUGUGGUAGGGGAGACUGGAAUUCCUGGUGUAGCGGUGAAAUGCGCAGAUAUCAGGAGGAACACCGAUGGCGAAGGCAGGUCUCUGGGCCACUACUGACGCUGAGAAGCGAAAGCAUGGGGAGCGAACAGGAUUAGAUACCCUAGUAGUCC
rnacentral:rRNA from 1 species